rnacentral:rRNA from 1 species
CCAGGGAGGGGGCCGGCACCUGAUUGAGCACGCCGCGUGAGUGAAGAAGGUUUUCGGAUCGUAAAGCUCUGUUGUAAGUCAAGAACGAGUGUGAGAGUGGAAAGUUCACACUGUGACGGUAGCUUACCAGAAAGGGACGGCUAACUACGUGCCAGCAGCCGCGGUAAUACGUAGGUCCCGAGCGUUGUCCGGAUUUAUUGGGCGUAAAGCGAGCGCAGGCGGUUUGAUAAGUCUGAAGUUAAAGGCUGUGGCUCAACCAUAGUUCGCUUUGGAAACUGUCAAACUUGAGUGCAGAAGGGGAGAGUGGAAUUCCAUGUGUAGCGGUGAAAUGCGUAGAUAUAUGGAGGAACACCGGUGGCGAAAGCGGCUCUCUGGUCUGUAACUGACGCUGAGGCUCGAAAGCGUGGGGAGCGAACAGGAUUAGAUACCCUGGUAGUCCACGCCGUAAACGAUGAGUGCUAGGUGUUGGAUCCUUUCCGGGAUUCAGUGCCGUAGCUAACGCAUUAAGCACUCCGCCUGGGGAGUACGACCGCAAGGUUGAAACUCAAAGGAAUUGACGGA